ACAAUGGAGAGUUUGAUCCUGGCUCAGGACGAACGCUGGCGGCGUGCUUUAAACAUGCAAGUCAAGGAGAACAUAUUCUUCGGAAUACAAGUAAACUGGCGAACGGGUGAGUAAC
rnacentral:rRNA from 1 species